CCAAACUUGGUCAUUUAGAGGAAGUAAAAGUCGUAACAAGGUUUCCGUAGGUGAACCUGCGGAAGGAUCAUUACAGAGUUAGGGUCUCUUCGGCCCGACCUCCCAACCCUUUGUUUACCUUACCUGUCGUUGCUUCGGCGAGCCCGUCAAUUCGUUGACCGCCGGAGGGCCGUAAGACGCCCUCGGGUCCGCGCUCGUCGAUAGCCAACUCUUCAAAACUCUUGAAUAAACGUGUCUUGAUCUGAGUACCAUAUUCAAAUAAAAGCAAAACUUUCAACAACGGAUCUCUUGGUUCUGGCAUCGAUGAAGAACGCAGC
rnacentral:misc_RNA from 1 species